GACGAACGCUGGCGGCGUGCUUAACACAUGCAAGUCGAACGGAAAGGCCCUGCUUUUGUGGGGUGCUCGAGUGGCGAACGGGUGAGUAACACGUGAGUAACCUGCCCUUGACUUUGGGAUAACUUCAGGAAACUGGGGCUAAUACCGGAUAGGAGCUCCUGCUGCAUGGUGGGGGUUGGAAAGUUUCGGCGGUUGGGGAUGGACUCGCGGCUUAUCAGCUUGUUGGUGGGGUAGUGGCUUACCAAGGCUUUGACGGGUAGCCGGCCUGAGAGGGUGACCGGCCACAUUGGGACUAAGAUACGGCCCAGACUCCUACGGGAGGCAGCAUUGGGGAAUAUUGCACAAUGGGCGGAAGCCUGAUGCAGCAACGCCGCGUGCGGGAUGACGGCCUUCGGGUUGUAAACCGCUUUCGCCUGUGACGAAGCGUGAGUGACGGUAAUGGGUAAAGAAGCACCGGCUAACUACGUG
rnacentral:rRNA from 1 species